UUCUUUUGCUUUGUGAGGCAGCAAUAUCUAGUCAUUCUUCGAACUCUACAUUUCUCUCUCUUUCCCAUGCACAUAGGAGGAAUGAAUUCCCCAUUUUGCCUAUAGUUAGAUACAGAGUAUUAGGUUUUACCAGUGACAUGUACAUGGUAGCACUGGAAACUAACAAGGUUAUCUGAGCUGUUCUUCCCUCUGAGUGACUUAAAUAGAAUACCCAACAUGACUUUGGAAACCACCUGUUGAAGAUAAGAGACACUCCACCAGCAUCAGGUCUUUAAAAGCUUUUUGAAGGAACUUCACACUACCAACCUAUUCCUCAGCACCUUCCCAAUGAAGAUAAGUAAUCACUGUGGUGAGUACUUGCUAGCCUCUCAUUGUGUUCAAGACAUUAUACCUUCUGGGGCCUAUUUGUUACAGCAGUUAGCUUAUGACAAUGAUUACACCAUCUCAAAUGAAUUCCAUCACAAAAACAAAAAUCAUAAGAGGAUCUUGACAAUUCUUAUAGGUAUAAAACUACAGGCAAAUAUUUGUUUAAAGACCAUAAAUGUUUAUUUACUGGUUAUAAGCUAGUAGAAGGGAAUGAAUUAUUUAAGAAGCUCAUAAGUGAUUGGAUCCCUAGAAACUUGGGAUCAAGAUGUAAGCUUUAUAAAUGAGACACACACAACUUAGUUAUUUUUCCCAACCCUAGGUUGGGAAACCCUAGGUUUUUACAGAAGAAUUGUGUGUCCCACUGAU